rnacentral:rRNA from 1 species
UACGAAGGGGGCUAGCGUUGCUCGGAAUCACUGGGCGUAAAGGGUGCGUAGGCGGGUCUUUAAGUCAGGGGUGAAAUCCUGGAGCUCAACUCCAGAACUGCCUUUGAUACUGAAGAUCUUGAGUUCGGGAGAGGUGAGUGGAACUGCGAGUGUAGAGGUGAAAUUCGUAGAUAUUCGCAAGAACACCAGUGGCGAAGGCGGCUCACUGGCCCGAUACUGACGCUGAGGAACGAAAGCGUGGGGAGCAAACAGG